ensembl:lncRNA
GCGUCUGCCAGCGUCUGUGUCAGCAUGCCUGUACUAGGUCACAACAAUAGCCCCCACCAGUGUCUCAGUCUCUGGUGAGGUCUCACCUCUCACCGAGAAGCACCCAGAGCCUACCAGGUCAAUAUUCACAGCUAUUGGAUGUUGUUAAGGAGCAAGCACUGAGACCCAUCCCUUCUCCUCUUGUGUUCUGUUGGCGAGAAUAGACAUAAUGGCAUCCAACUGCUGAUGUGUGUUGGCGAAUGUAGUUUGAACCUGAAGUGUAAUGGUCACUCCUACUUCCACCCUGAAUCUGGACUUGCCUAUGAAGAGAUCUGGAUAUGUAGGACAGUUUUAGAAGCCACUGGGAGGGGCCACAGGCCUGCUCCACGCACCGUAACCAGCAGGACAGUGAGUGACAAUGGUGGACCCCCUUCCUUACACACAAACACAGAAGGGUCUGUUGUAAGGAGUUAGGGAGAAGAUGAGGAGGAGGACUUGUUCCAUUUGAGAGGAAGUUGGUGGGAAUAAGAGCACAGACCAGCCGCCUUUAACCUUCUUAUUCCCAUUGCCAGAAAAUUUUACCAAUCAGCUUGGACUUGACAGAGCAGUGAUUUAUAACUCCUCCCUUGCUUCUUUCUCCAUGGUGCAAUUUCAGGAGUGAGAUGAUUGCUCCUUGCUGUUUGCUAUGCACUCUGUGGAUUCCACGCUGAGAUCACUACAGUUGGAGAAGGAUGGCCUCUAUCAAAGCAAGUCAGAGAAACUCCCAGGAGAGAAGCCAAGGUGUCAUUUCCUGGGACCAAAUGUUUUAUUGAUGGACAAAGAAUUGCACAUAUUUAACAUGGAAAAUUUGAUGAAUUUGGUCAUCAGCAAACAUCCUUGAUACCAUCACCACAAUCAGAUAAUAGACAGAUCCAACACCUCCAAGAGUUUUCUGGUUUUCCUUAAGUUUUUUUGUGUGUGUAUAUGUGGUAAGAACACUUAACGUCAUUCUUAUUAUUAAACAGAAGGUGAGUUAUGGACCAACAGAUGUUACCAAACCAAGCAAGGAAUCGAAAUAGAAAUGUUUACUUUUGCUGCAUGAUAGUAGAAUAAUGUGCUUAUUUUUGUUCAUUCGCUCAUUCAUUUGCUGAGAUAUUUACUGUGUUCCACUUGUGUUGUUUUUAGCACUUAAGAUGCAGUCGUGGAAAAGAGACCAGUUUCUUAUCAAUGAGGUUUACAUUUUAAUGGGGAAAUAGAAGAAAUGCUUUUGUUUUGAAAACCUUCAGCUGCAAUGACUUUUGAAUUAAUUUCUUCAGGCAUUUAAUUAUUCAUUAAGUUACUUUUGAAGCAAUUAUUCAAAAAUCAUGUUCAACAUAGUAUUUACCAUAAUAAAAGUGAUGUUAUUUGGAGAAAUUUUUAGAAAACAAAAUAAAGUUUAAAACCACCUAUAAUUACAUAAUAUGGAAGACUAUGGCAGUCAGUAAUGUGUGUCUAUGUCCUCCAUUUUUCUCUAUAUUUAGAUUUAUGGACCAAUGUAAUUUUCUGAAAACAAAGGAAUUGAUUUCAUAAAUUACUUUCCCUCAUUCUGUUAAAUAUUCUCUAAGAAUAUGACUUCCCCUAUUCAUAAUCUGGAAUAAAUAUGCUGCAAUUUAUUUAAGUAGUAUUCUAUCAUUAGACUUUGAGGGUAUUUUUCUCAAAUUUAUUUAAGUAACACUACGAUAAAUAGCCUGUAUACACAUCUUGGUAUGUGUCUAUGACUAUCUUCUUAGGGUAAAUGUCUAGAAGUGACUUGAUUGUGUGAAAGUCUAUUAAACAUAUACAGAUUUUAUACAUCAUCUCAACUACCCCUCCAAAGAAUGUAAUUUUACCACAUUAUAAUUUAUCAAUGUUUAUUUCCCUGCAUCCUUACUAGUAUUAGAUAUUUUCAGGUUUUCCCUCUAAUCACAGCCCAAUUGUCUACAGAAAAAAAAAUAUGUCAUUGGUUUAACUUUCAAUCCUUUGAUGAUAAGCAAGUUAAGCACUUGUUCACAUUUAUUGUUCACUGUUGUAUUGGUUAAUUGCCUUUUACAUUUCUGCCCAUAUAUCUAUUUUGUGAUUCAACUCGUAUUUUUUCUUUGUGAAAAUCUCUGUAUAUUAAGCAUAAUUAACUAUAAUUUUGUUAUAUAUUUUAAAUUACUUUUCUGGUGUUUCCUUUACCUUUUAUGGUAUUUUGGAGAUUCCAUUUUUACGUUGUUAAACCUAUUAAUGUUUACCUUUAAUUUUCUCUGGCUGCUUGUGUGGUUAAAAUCGUUUUCCACUUUGAUAUCAGAAAUUAUUUUUGUAUCUGAGCUUCAAGUUCUUCUAUUUUUUAUAAAAAGAAAGAAUCGAGUGUGGAUUUUUUUAAAUAGUAGGAGUUUUGUGGUUGAUCAGUUCUCCUGGUGUGUAUGUAUAUGCAUGCAUGUAUUAUGUAUUUUUUUAUUUCUAAAAUUUGUUUUGGAAUAGACCUUCUUCAAUGAUUUAAAAAUUCUACUUUUAUUGCAUACUAGAUUUUUAUGUAAAUUUAGCUCUGGACAGUUCUCUCACGGUUUGUGUAUUGUACAGGAUAAAACUGUUUUAGCUGUUAUAUUUUCAUAAUGUAUUUACAUAUUUGAUAA